GAUGAAGAACGUAGCGAAAUGCGAUAAGUAAUGUGAAUUGCAGAAUUCAGUGAAUCAUCGAAUCUUUGAACGCACAUUGCGCCCAUUAGUAUUCUAGUGGGCAUGCCUGUUCGAGCGUCAUUAAGUCCACUUAAGCCCUGCUUAGUGUUGGGAGACUGCUCCAGCGGUGCUACCCUGUAGCUACCCUGCAGCUCCUCAAAGACAGCGGCGGAGUUGUGGUAUCCUCUGAGCUUAGUAACUUGUUCUAGCUUUCGAGUACAUCACUUCCCCUGCCGUAAAACCCUUAAUUUUUAAUGGUUGACCUCGGAUCAGGUAGGAAUACCCGCUGAACUUAAGCAUAUCAAUAAGCGGAGGA
rnacentral:misc_RNA from 1 species